UACGUAGGGGGCAAGCGUUGUCCGGAAUCAUUGGGCGUAAAGAGCGUGUAGGCGGUCCGGUAAGUCGGCUGUGAAAGUCCGGGGCUCAACCCCGGACUUGCAGUGGGUACGGGCAGACUAGAGUGUGGUAGGGGAGACUGGAAUUCCUGGUGUAGCGGUGAAAUGCGCAGAUAUCAGGAGGAACACCGAUGGCGAAGGCAGGUCUCUGGGCCACUACUGACGCUGAGAAGCGAAAGCAUGGGGAGCGAACAGG
rnacentral:rRNA from 1 species